GACAGAGGGUGCAAACGUUGCUCGGAAUCACUGGGCGUAAAGCGCACGUAGGCGGAUUCCUAAGUCGGGGGUGAAAUCCUGGAGCUCAACUCCAGAACUGCCUUCGAUACUGGGAAUCUUGAGUCCGGAAGAGGUGAGUGGAACUGCGAGUGUAGAGGUGAAAUUCGUAGAUAUUCGCAAGAACACCAGUGGCGAAGGCGGCUCACUGGUCCGGUACUGACGCUGAGGUGCGAAAGCGUGGGGAGCAAACAGGGAUUAAGA
rnacentral:rRNA from 1 species